AUUGAACGCUGGCGGCAGGCUUAACACAUGCAAGUCGAGCGGGGUGAUGGUGCUUGCACUAUCACUUAGCGGCGGACGGGUGAGUAAUGCUUAGGAAUCUGCCUAUUAGUGGGGGACAACAUUUCGAAAGGAAUGCUAAUACCGCAUACGUCCUACGGGAGAAAGCAGGGGAUCUUCGGACCUUGCGCUAAUAGAUGAGCCUAAGUCGGAUUAGCUAGUUGGUGGGGUAAGGGCCUAUCAAGGCGACGAUCUGUAGCGGGUCUGAGAGGAUGGUCCGCCACACUGGGACUGAGACACGGCCCAGACUCCUACGGGAGGCAGCGGUGGGGAAUAUUGGACAAUGGGCGGAAGCCUGAUCCAGCCAUGCCGCGUGUGUGAAGAAGGCCUUAUGGUUGUAAAGCACUUUAAGCGAGGAGGAGGCUACUUUAGUUAAUACCUAGAGAUAGUGGACGUUACUCGCAGAAUAAGCACCGGCUAACUCUGUGCCAGCAGCCGCGGUAACAC
rnacentral:rRNA from 1 species